rnacentral:misc_RNA from 1 species
AAAAAAAAAGAAAGAGGAGAAAUGAAUUACAAAACAUUUUAAAAGCCUACAACUAAAGAAAGGGGAGGAUAAAAGAUUAUAAGACCAUAAAUUUUAAAAUAAAGUCCUAAAUUCUAUUACAUAGCCCAUUGGACCCAUAACCUCAUAUAAGAGGCUUUGAAGUCAUCCUUGUACAUUGGCCCACCUUUAGUCCUCCUAGGGUUGCCUUUGUUAGUUUUAGGUCUGUCACGACUCGAUCCCAUGG